UGUCAUAGCUCAGUUGGUAGAGCAAAGGACUGAAAAUCCUACAGUCCCUGGUUCGAUUCCCGGUGACA
rnacentral:tRNA from 1 species